CACGGGGGGAGCGAACGUUGUUCGGAAUCACUGGGCGUAAAGCGCACGUAGGCGGGUUGUUAAGUCGGGGGUGAAAUCCUGGAGCUCAACUCCAGAACUGCCUUCGAUACUGGCGACCUUGAGUCCGGGAGAGGUGAGUGGAACUCCGAGUGUAGAGGUGAAAUUCGUAGAUAUUCGGAAGAACACCAGUGGCGAAGGCGGCUCACUGGCCCGGUACUGACGCUGAGGUGCGAAAGCGUGGGGAGCAAACAGG
rnacentral:rRNA from 1 species